UAACUUUUUUCUUAAAUUUUUUAUGGAUCAUAUUCGGAUUGCUCCAUACUAAUUGAGUCAAUUGAUGGAUCCGUAAUUGAGAAACGAAACCCUUUUCCAAAUAAUUAAAACCCUAAAAAGUUGUUGCGACUUAAUUCUAUGGAUCAAGAAGAGGAGGCGGCAUUGAGGAAUCUCUUUAUCGUGUUUUUAUUGGAUUAAGAUAAACUCUCGAGUGAUGAAACUAAUCUCCAUCCUAGAGGUUUGCUUUGUUUCUCAACUGCCGCUGUUUGAUCCGGUGGCUGGUAGGAUAUUACGACGGCUUUGUGGCUCAUAUGGUUCUUACAUUCGAAAUUCUUCGGUGUCUUAUCAGAAUAUGUGAUUAAACUUAUCGGCUUUUUUUGGGAACAACCACGAGACCAGCCUUGAUUUCUUUAUUGGGUCUCCCUGCAGUAGAUCCAAGAUGGUUUUGAAGGAUGGACAAGUUUCACAACCAAAUUUGUCUUCUUAAUGUCAUUUUUGAGUUUCAAGCCAACCAUAGGAGAAGGUGGUAUUAUUUGCACAUUGUCAAACAGUUGCAGGUUUAUUCUCUUGAUGAGAGAGGGAUCUUCUUCAAAACAAUGAUUCUAAACAGAUAUCCUGAUUGUGAAUAUAUUUCAUUUUACACUUUAUCAGGUUUGGGGCUGAAUGCUUCUACUACUGCUGCCAAUCUAUCUAAAGAGAAGGACGAGAUGUUUGCCUCCUGUAGAUUUUCUGAAGACAGUGCAUGCAAUGAAGCUCUUUGCAUUGCUGCAAACAUUGAACGUGAUUGAAGUAUUACAACAUGUGAUACGAAAUCAUGGAAACGAAAAGAGUCAAAGCCUAUAAAAAACAAAUAUAUAUUAGCCUUUAAUGUCUCAGCUGAUGCGAUGUAAGUUUAUCUUUCUUCUCACUUGCGAUAGUAUGUUGUGUCGUUAGUGAGGGCUUUCAAUAUCAUCUAUUGCUAUGGCCAGCAUGUGUUUUAGAUAAACAGAAUAAAAUCUGGAAAUCUGUUAAUUGGUGCUCAUGUGGUAAGUUUUAUCCAUAUUUUAGCAUUGACAUCUUUCCAUUUGAUUUUGGAGAGAUUGAGGAUCUUAAACAGAGCCAUUAACUUCUAAUGCUCAUACUAUAAAUUUACGAUUCAUACAUAAGGUAGAGAGAUGCUGGGUAAUUUGUCUUCAUAACUUUCAUAAUGAAAGUUUCAUUUAAUUGGUCAGUUUGCGUUUACAUAUAUAUCAUUUUCAAUCUCAAGUAAUAUAGAAACACAAAUAUCUAACCAUUAUUUCUCUGUCUUUUGUAUUUUAAUGGAUCGCAUCUUUCCUAAUAGGGAGUGAGACCAUAUGUGAUGGGGCAGAUCUUGGUUUUCUAUAUAAUGGCCCUGAGAAAAGUUUUUUGGUCGUUUUCAAUCGUAUGAGACUCUUUGCCUUAGUGACUGCGUGAACACCGGUUUCCUCGCGGGUCACAGGCAUAUAAGGAUAAGAAGAAGACGAAAGGAUAGAAGAAUCAGUAAGAGACAUAUCGAAUCAAUGAGAUUAAGAAGAAUUAGAGAAGAAGAAAUGAAGAGAUAAUGUGUCGGUUUUAGUUUUUUUUUUUUUUGGGUAAAUAACCUUUAACUUAUGUACUUUUUUGGUGACAUUUUUCCUUUUUUAAGUAACCACCAAUUUGGUUUCUCCAUUAUAAUCUUCAUUUGGUAA